CGCAUAGAAUCGAAGCGUCCUUCUUGGAGGUUUGGAGUUGGAUCUUGAUCGCCAUGAUUUCUCUCUGGGCGGUCUCUCUGUGGUGACUUUUUAUCCUCUUCUUCUUGCGCGGCGUCGAAACCAGCAGUCUUUUCUUCCGGGGAGUUGCAUCUCGAUCGGUCGGCCGGCUUCUUUCUCGAUUCUAUUGAUAUUUUUUAUAAUCCUGGUAUCGUCUUGAAUGCUUUUCACAUUCUUUUGGUUUUUGUUUCGUGAUCCAGCAAGAAGAGAAAUGAGUUCUUGGUGGCGGCGCAUCCCGAUGACGAGUCCACGUAAGUUUGUUGGUGUUUCAGAUUCCUUGAACGAUGAAAAUGUAAUACAUAUAGGAUGUAUCCUUUUUAAGGCAAGGGAGGGUAAGGCCCACCCAUGGAUUUCAUUAACCGGAUGAAAUCAAAAGAGUAAAAGUGAGGAAGAAAGAGUAAAAUUACAUUGAUUGAAGAAGAAAACUAGAAGGAACAAUGAAAGAGAGGUAAGGAUACAGAAUUGAGGAAAGAAACAUUUGGCGAAGGAGCUGUUGCCAGUGGAGUACACGGUCAUGUGCGAAAGAUAGCCAUGGUUGAAGAGAUGAAGGUGGUGAUGUCUCUAAUAGCAUGUGCAAAAAGAUCAGUACAAGUACUCUUUGCAAGUAUACUGGCCGUGUGGACAUCUGGUUGUCUAUCUUAUUCUGUGUCUAAUCCAAGAAGACAGAUGCAUUGCUUACCCAACAGCCUUCCACUCAAAGCUCUCUUGCAAUGGCUGAACAUGAGAGCCAGUGGUUUUGGCUUCGGAGGUUGUUUCUGCUGUUCUCUAGUCAUACGAACAUGAACACGCUUUGAAAAAUCGAUCUCCAGCAUUUCGUGAAUGAAUUAACCAGCGACCUUCAUUUCAUACAUUGAUUUGAUCUUUACCAUGGAACAACUUCGCUCAUGUAGCAAGUGCACUCACGGUGUCUCAGACUUAUCAGAACAAGGCAAUCAUCCAUGGAGCUCAUGGGUUUGUUAUGAUAGUGAUGCAAGAUAAGAGUACCAGAUUGAAAGAGUGACAACUCAUCUUAGCUCGUACAAUGUGCAGAUCAUAAUGUUUGGCUCAUAAUCCUGCCAAAAGUGGAGUCUGUAAUUAGGAAGUUCUGAUGGCUUUCUGUAAUUUCAAGAAUACACUUGUGAAAUCUGGGCCUAUUGUCUGAGUCUAUGAUUGUCUUGGUAGGAUUCUUUGCUUUUAUUUUUAAAUAUUACAAGACUGAUGGUCCAGGAUCACAUCAAUUGUUCCAUCGCGCAUGGCCUGCUCGGAGUCAAUAGUUAAUUUCUGAAGUA